AAAGAUCACUUUGUUAGCCUUCUGGUAAUUAAGAAAAAAAAAGUAGAAAAUUCUUGAGACUUCUUUUCAAUCAAGUCAAUAACAUGAAGACUAUCAAAUUCUAAUUAUUUAAAUCAAAGAAAGAAUGAAAAGAAUCCAGCCAAGUGGACCAUGGAAUGAAAACAGAUGCAUGAGGUUCUUUGGCCAUAAGAAUAUUUCAUAUGAUACACAUAUAUUGGACAAAAGUGACACAGCAAAUGGAACAAAUAUGCGGAUGCAAGAGAUUUAGAUCCAGUAAAUUUUCCUGAAUUCAAAUUUGGGUUUCGUGAACAACAAAUGUUUUAUGCAAUAGAAAAUGAAAAAGAAAAACUAAGCUCACACAGAAAAAAAUAAAUAAAUAAAUAGAACGAUUAAAGAGAAAGGCAUCAACUUACAGAAGCUGUAGAUGUUUUUUCUU
rnacentral:misc_RNA from 1 species